ensembl:lncRNA
ACCGGUUUGGGAUGGUGCUACGGCGCGAAGUGUUUGCGUAGCACGAUUAUGUUUUUGUUGUGCAGGUCAGCUGGAUGUGACUUCGAAGUUUCAGUUUAACAAGGUAGUGGGAAAGCCCCCGGACCGUUUCAGUUUGGCUUCAAGUAGCUCUGCAAGAUCUGAUUCUGCUCAUCGAGUCAGCGGAGGAAAUGCGGACUUUUGUCACUUUUUCUACAGGAUAAAUGGCUGCAGUACACAUACGGUAGCAAGUUGCUGAAAUCCCUCCUGGAGCAGAGUACACAGCGCUGCAGCACUGGCAACCAUCCUAGACACCUUCCACACAUCCACAAAAAGAACACAAGAUGCACCAUAAGUGGAUCCAGCUGAUUACUGGCAAUUUGGAGGAAGAUUGUUCUUCAUAUGCUAUGUUGCACUGUCUCUUCUACAGUCACUGACAGAGUCAUUGACCUGUUGUGCUAUCUUUUGAUUUUACUUUACUUUGUUUCCAACCCCACUUUAAUUGAAACAGUGAAAAUCAUAUAGGUGUUUCAAUUUAUUUAGCAUUUCUUCAAUGUUUUCAAUUGAGUAUAUUUCACAGUAAUCUUAAAGCUUAUAUUUUAUGUGAAUUUGAAUAAACAUCUGC